AAUCAUUCCCUGAUGGAGGGUGUGUACAAGGAAGUGAGUUUAGAAGCAGAGUUUCUGACCAUACCACACAUCAUGGUGCCCUGCUCUCUGGUCCCUGUCUUAUGAGAAAGCAUGGUUAAAUACCUAAGAUGAAGCACUGUUGAAACCAAGGAGGAUUUCCUAAUCAGAAGAGAAAGUCUCCUGAUAAUCUGC
rnacentral:lncRNA from 1 species